GGGCGUAUAGCUCAGCUGGUUAGAGCGCACGCCUGAUAAGCGUGAGGUCGGUGGUUCGAGUCCACUUAUGCCCACCA
rnacentral:tRNA from 6 species